GUUACCAUAUUGUUAUUAAGUUCUACUGGAGAUAUAUAUAUAUAUAUAUAUAUAUAUAUGUGUUCUAGCUUGGAUUUCUCACGAAUCCGGUAUCAAAAUCGUGAGUGGUGGCAGACUACCUGGGGGGAUACAGGCAGGAUUUGGGGGUUAAUUUGGUAUAGCUUAUGACUUGUUAAGGGGUCAAGUUAGUAAAUCCAGAGGCCUGGUGCUAUUAACCCCUUUAUGCCCAUGCCCUCCACACAGUCACGGCUUGGCAAGUAGUCCUGACCGUGACACUGAGUGUAUCAUUUUUCUUUGGGAAUGGUUUUGUAGCAGUCCCCCUGUAAUAGUAUUUAAACCCGCUCGCAACAAUGAAUAAAUUGAGAAGUGACUGAGAACGAA